GAUGAACGCUGGCGGCGUGCCUAAUACAUGCAAGUCGAGCGAACAGACGAGGAGCUUGCUCCUCUGACGUUGGCGGCGGACGGGUGAGUAACACGUGGAUAACCUACCUAUAAGACUGGGAUAACUUCGGGAAACCGGAGCUAAUACCGGAUAAUAUAUUGAACCGCAUGGUUCAAUAGUGAAAGACGGUUUUGCUGUCACUUAUAGAUGGAUCCGCGCCGCAUUAGCUAGUUGGUAAGGUAACGGCUUACCAAGGCGACGAUGCGUAGCCGACCUGAGAGGGUGAUCGGCCACACUGGAACUGAGACACGGUCCAGACUCCUACGGGAGGCAGCAGUAGGGAAUCUUCCGCAAUGGGCGAAAGCUUGACGGAGCAACGCCGCGUGAGUGAUGAAGGUCUUCGGAUCGUAAAACUCUGUUAUUAGGGAAGAACAAAUGUGUAAGUAACUAUGCACGUCUUGACGGUACCCAAUCAGAAAGCCACGGCUAACUACGUG
rnacentral:rRNA from 1 species